CCUACGGGCGGCAGCAGUGGGGAAUAUUGGACAAUGGGCGAAAGCCUGAUCCAGCCAUGCCGCGUGUGUGAAGAAGGCCUUCGGGUUGUAAAGCACUUUCAGUGGGGAAGAAAGCCUUGGGGCUAAUACCCUCGAGGAAGGACAUCACCCACAGAAGAAGCACCGGCUAACUCCGUGCCAGCAGCCGCGGUAAUACGGAGGGUGCGAGCGUUAAUCGGAAUUACUGGGCGUAAAGCGCGCGUAGGCGGUCUGAUAAGCCGGUUGUGAAAGCCCCGGGCUCAACCUGGGAACGGCAUCCGGGACUGUCAGGCUAGAGUGCAGGAGAGGAAGGUAGAAUUCCCGGUGUAGCAGUGAAAUGCGUAGAGAUCGGGAGGAAUACCAGUGGCGAAGGCGGCCUUCUGGACUGACACUGACGCUGAGGUGCGAAAGCGUGGGUAGCAAACAGGAUUAGAUACCCUAGUAGUC
rnacentral:rRNA from 1 species